AACACUCGUGCCGACAGUUGCACGAGCCAACUUGCAAAAAAAAAUAUAUUUAGUGUUUAGGUAACGACCGAUUUGCAAGUUCAUCUACAAGACCAAAAUACAACCACAGCCGAAAAAUUAAAACUCAUUUAACAAGCUAAGUGAAUUGGUUUUGUUCGCAAACGCACAAACUUUUUUUAAUAAGUUUAUAAGCAUACAAAAAUGAAACAUUUAUGCAUUUUAAUAUCAUUCGUGUUUGGAAAUGUUUUGGCAAUUACUGAAACGGAAUUUAAGAAGGAACUAUACAUCACAAACUUCUUUCUCGGUGCAAUAGAACAAAAAAAAAGUCUUGUGUCAACAUUACGCAACAGUUUAGUAUGUUCAACCGAGACGAUUGAUAAUCCCCUGGAUACAACCAUCGAAGAUUUAGUUAUGUCAAAUCCGGAAAUUGCCUAUUUGGUCAUAACGUUGGUUGCACCAGACUACGCAGAUCCUGAACUUCUGGACCGAAGUGGACAAGACGAGAGAAAUCUUCAGGAAAAGAUAAGAUUGGAUUACCAUAUCAAAGACCCCGACAUCUCAAACAUAGAUUUUGCCACCUAUAAUUUGUCAAACUUAGCUGACAUUAGAAGGAAUAUAGUUAGGAAGUCUUUAAGACGUAUACAAAAAAAAAUAACAGAAGGUCAAAUUGAAUUCAGCCCAAUCGAAAAAUGCUACUUAAAAGCGUUGGAAAUAAGUAUGGGCGAGCCUAUGAAACGCAUAAUUAUAGCUUCUAUCGAUGUUGAGGGUAAUUGUCACCUACAUAACCUUGAUGGUAGUCGUGAUCGACCGUUCGCAAUAUGAAAAACCGGUCACACAGAAGUUAAAAAAUUGAACAUAGUUGACAAUCCUCCAACUCAAAAUAUAGUUACCAUAUAGGUAAACGGAGUCGCACUUGGUGAUUAAGCAAAUUAUUCCCUUUUUAGAAUAUUCCAAUGUAAAUUAAACAUUUUAAAUAUUUUAACAAUACAGCAAUCAUAUUCGUACGCUAGCUUUAAUAUAGCGA